AGUGACUCCGGGAGUGGAGCCGGCGAGCCUGCGGCUGCAGGGGCUGAUGGAAGUGGAGUGGGGGCUUGAGAGGGCACCUACCGUAUCCAGCAUGCUCCAAGGCCACAGCCCUGUGUCCCAGGCCUUGCUGGGGACCUUCUUCACCUGGGGGAUGACCGCAGCUGGGGCGGCCCUCGUGUUCAUAUUCUCUAGCGGACAGAGGCAGAUCUUAGAUGGAAGCCUUGGCUUUGCUGCAGGGGUCAUGUUGGCGGCUUCCUACUGGUCCCUCCUGGCCCCAGCGGUGGAGAUGGCCACGUCCUCUGGCGGCUUUGGCGCCUUGGCCUUCUUCCCCGUGGCUGUCGGCUUCACCCUCGGCGCUGCUUUUGUCUACUUGGCAGACCUCCUGAUGCCUCACCUGGGUGCAGCCGAGGACCCCCAGACGGCCCUGGCACUGAACUUCGACCCUGCGUUGAUGAAGAAGAAAUCUGAUGCCGAGGGUCCCAGGCCGCUCUUCCCCGAGAGUGAACUUUCCAUCCGGAUAGGUAGAGCUGGGCUUCCUUCAGACAAGAGUGAGAAUGGCGAGGCGUAUCAGAGGAAGAAGGCGGUGGCCAGCGACCUCCCCGAGGGCCCCGCAGCUCCCAUGUCCUCUCGAGGAAACCCCACGCAGCCUAGCAGCAGCAGCUGGAGGAGAAUCGCGCUGCUCAUCUUGGCCAUCACCGUCCACAACGUCCCAGAGGGUCUUGCUGUCGGAGUUGGAUUUGGGGCUGUAGAAAAGACGGCGUCUGCCACCUUCGAGAGCGCCAGCCCCACAGGUCUAAGACUGGUGUUGGCAAGGAGGAGGUCGGCUCAGCUCAUACCUGAGAGAGGUACUCCAUCAAAGAAGCAGGUUUACGCCAUUUUCCAAUGAACCAUCUAGUGAGUGAAAACAAACGUCUUGAAAACAAAACAUGCUUAUAAUUCCACACUGUUCUCCAAACCCUUUAAAUGCAUAUAUACGUUAUAAAGACAGUAUUCUGGGGGGAUUGGUUCCAGGACCCGCCGGUGGACACCAAAAUCCGCAGAUGCUAAAGUGUGUCCGUCAGCCGUCAGUAUCCACUGAUUCCCUGUCUGCAGGUCCCGCAUCCCCGAAUUCAACCAAUGGCGGAUCGCAGGAUCCAGGAGGGCCAACUGUAUCAUGAAGGCAACAGUUGACGGUCCUAACUGCUCCCUCCUUUUCGAAGCCCUCACUUUCUCUUUCUUGCCACUGGCCCCUCCUCUUUCCUCCUUCUGCUUCUUUCCAGGCCCCUUUUGAAACGUUGAUGUUCCCCAACCGUCUCUGAGGCAUCCUUUCUUCUCACUUAACGCACUCUCCUGGGGGAUUCCUCCCCUUUCCCAUGGCUUUAUUUUCCAUCUGCUUACUUGUGAUGCACAAGUUGAUCUUCAACCCAGGUGUUUCUCCCGAACCUAUUCUUAUGAGUCCGGCCACCUUCCAGAUGUCUCCAACUGAGAUGUUUCACAGGGUCCCCACACUCAGCAUUUCCCAAGUUGAGCUGAUCGCCUCCAUGUGCAAUCAUGCAAAACCCGCCCCUUCCCCAGCGUUCCCCAUCACCGCCAUGGACCCGGUUGACCAAGCCAAACUCAUCGCUACCCUCGAUGUCUCAUCUUCCCCGGGCAAUCACCAGGCCUUGUGAAUUCUUCCUCUCCUCUGCCUCCCCUGAAUCGUAGGGUCAGAUAAGGCUACAGCCUUGGGAUCACAAAGAGGCACCCCGGAGAUGAGCUAUACGGUCCACACGUGCCCACAAAACCAUGGAUACUGUAGCCUCCAGGUUGAAGGAGGGCAGGGUGGAGCCUUCCAUCCAAGGGCAGCAAACUCAGAUGCCUUCGGGGGACUAAAGAGUAACAAGACUGAGCACAGACAGUCAGGUGGAGACAGGUGGGAAUGGUGAGGAAGACAGGGAAUGUCAGCUAGACUACACAUGCACUAUCUAAAGGCGCUUGGAUUCAUAAUUAUUCUAAAAACAAAACUCAAAGAGCUGGCCCAGGGGUCACUGGUUUCUGACCUCUGUGUCUAGCUCAGCCCACUGCCUUCUGACUGGUACAAUCUCAACAUCGACUUUUUCUCCCCUCAAGACAGUAACAUCACCUCCUUUAAUAAUCUACCCUGUGUCUAGGGACCAUGAACUCGGAACCAGUUUCUCUCUGAAGCCCUUUUCCAUCCGUCCCUCAUUUCCAAGCUCAUGUGGGGCCUCUUUAAGCCCCAUCACUUUUCAUCUGCUCCCCCAGCUGAUGUGGGGUCCCUGCAUGUUCGGAGGAAUCACUGCCAGUCACUGCAUUCUAACGCUACGUGUAAGGGACAUGUCUGCUCCCCGAAGCCCCAAAUACCCGUGUGGGCUGGCAGUGUUCUCGGUUGAAAUUUUCCCAGUUCUCAACCUCUUUUGGCUGCCUGUCAGACUCCCGGGUCACUUCCUCGCCCCGUCUCCAGCGUCAUCCAUUAACAAGAUGCCUGUUGGGAAAACUGGAGGAGAUGGUAGAUGGGGAGAAGGUUUUAGAAAGUAAGAAAUGUCACCAAAAUCCAGGGCCAAUUGUGAUUCAUGGUGCCCUGCAGGCUGCCUUCUCUGCCCUGGACUAGGGCGCGGGGCAGGGGAGUUGGGCUCUGUGUCCAGCCCCCAACCCUGGGCACGACUGUUUUGCUCUUGGCUUCGUUUAGACCACGAGGAACUUCAGGGGCGGGUGGUGUCCAGGGGGCUGAAGAGCCCUGAGGGGCUGAGCCCAUAAGCAUUCAAAGGCCAGGUCAUUCCAGAGCCCGAGGAACCGCACGCUCUCCAGAAAUGUCUGCCUGCAAGUGACAGCCCUGCCCGGGGCAACGCACUCGCGGGCCGGGCUUUCUGUCCGGUGGAGCCACGUCUCCCGCGACAUCGAGAUGUCAACUCUGAUGUCUCUCAGUUCUGUCACCUGUACUUUCUGCUAAUCUUUAUGUUUCUGGAGAAAGUAGAGCAAACGCUUUCCCAUCCCAGCUCCUCCCUCCCCUUGACCAGACAGCUCCUCUCCGUGUGACAUAAACCCUCAGCGGGGUUCUCCAGCUGGGACUGGGCGAGGGCGGCACGACUCGGUACUUUUAGCCUCAAGAAACCUUCUGAUAAGCAAGCAUCCUUGGGGCAUUUUCAUGCCCCUACACGCCACCCACCCCCACCACAGCCAGCGGGGCAGAGCUUUGCCUCCGUCACCACUGUGUACAGAGUAUCAGGACGGGGCAGGGGGUGUCUCUGCAACUCAGGCCACAGAGAGGGAAAGAGGGUGACCUUGUGCAGACCCUCCAUCACAGCCUGUUUUCCCCACUUAUAAAUCCACAUAUAGUUCGUGAUUUGGGUUCUUCCUUUCUGAAUGCCUGCGAUCUUACUCUUGAGGGUAAAAUGUAGAACAGCUCCCAGAAGAGGCUUCUCUGCCUUUAGCUUUUGCUCCAGACCAGGGCUUCAUCGAAGGACAGGGACCUGAGGGUAGUAGGGAGGGAGGGAGGGGGGCAGAAAAAGAAAAAGACAGACACAGUAGGGGGAGGGGUGCAGAAACAGUCAUCGGAUGAUGAGAUACGUCUUUUAAAAGAGACAGGUUUUGCUUUUUUUAAAAACACGACAGGCAAAGGUUGAAAAAUAAAGAAAUGAAAAAAGACACAGGGCGAGUGCCGAUCAAAAAGGAAGCAGGCAUUGCAGUUUCAGUAUCAGACCAGACGGACUUUAAGGCAGAAAGCCACCUACAGAAUAAAGGUCAUUUUAUCAUUAAUGAAAAGAGAAACAAUGCAAGGGAUGACAUAAUGAUCUUGCACUUGUACGCCUCCAGCAGCAGACGCCUCAAAAUGCCGGAGAUAAAUCAUCGGAAUAGCAAGGAACAGCAGACAAGACCACAGUCAUGGUGGGGAGUACGAUUCCCUGCUCUGACACUGAUAAAAUAGCUAAAAAGUUCACAAAAUGGGCAUCAUGGACAUAAUGCAGAACCUCAACGCAGCAACGGGAAAACUUAACGUCCUUUGCAAGCACACGUGUGCGUGUUUCCACAAAUUGAUGCCGUGUCACAGAGAAAGUCAGAACACCCCCAGAUCGAUACCAUUCAGAACCCCUGCUCUGACGUCAGUGAGAUGUAAUUGAAAAUCAGUAACAAAAGAUAUAGUGAAAAUAACUGGCUAGUGGCCAGUGAGACCUGCAGGCACUGUAAGACGAGGCACCAGCUCCCGGGGGAGGGACAUAAACCAAAUUGUCUAAGGAACCAGUGGACGGAGGGCACGGCCUUCCCCCAUCUCAGGCGCUUCAUAGAAUAGGUGGCACUUCGUCAGGAGCACGGGGAUGAUCGUCUUGGGGAAGCAGAGGUGUUAAGGGCAGAUGACGUCACUGAGAUGGGGCCACAUGGUGCUUUACGAAGCGAGACCGAAGGCCAAGGAGAAAGUGCGUUCUUUUGCAAGACCCUGACCACCUUGGUGAGUUCCGAUGCCCAGAAAUGACAGAGCCCAAGACCUGGCUCCCACGGAAUAAUUUGAGGGGAAGAGGUAGCCGGAUCCGCGUGAAGAACCCAGACACUGAACAGACACUCACUGACACCACGGCUACAAAGAAGACGAGGGGAGUGUUGAUACUGAUGGGAGGGAAGAGAGACUGAGGGAAGGAAGGGGUCUUAAAUGCAGAACAAACGGGCAGCAUUUGUCACUGAUGCUGUUGUGUGGGGGAUAAUUCAAGUCCAGGUAACGAGGAGACAAGUAAUCACAUAGGUACAUAGAGGGGGCUGAGAGGGGAGGAAGGAUGGGUCUGCAUGGAUUUGGGGAAAGAGAAGAGUUACCCAGCAUAUGCCUGGGACGUGCGGACCAAGCUAGCUGAGCCAGGUACAGUUCUCUGCUCCUUUAGCGUAGGGGUUGGCAAAGGACGGCCCGUGGACCAAAUCUGGCCCAACACCUGCUUCUGUAAAUGAAUGAAGUUUUACUGGAACACAGUCAUGCCUGUUAUCAUCAAAUUCUGACUCCAACUACUUUUUUUUUUUUUUUAACGACGUGUGCCCUGUUGGUAAUGCACCUGAGGUUCUCUUCUCUCACCUGUGGCAUCGAAGCCACGCCACAAGAGAAGAAAGAGGUGAAAACUAAAUACUCCAAAAAGGCACCAUCUUCAGUGCCCACUUGAGUUUCUCAGAUCAGGAGAGAGGACAGCUCUGCUUUCUUCAGUGGUGGCUUGCUUUUCAGGUUCUACAUGGUGACAAGAUGGCUUUCUGCUAACAGCUCUCGUCCUAUCUCCUUCCAAGUUCAAGUCCAACAGAAAUAGUCUUUUUCAGUAGCUCCCUUGGGGUCUAAUUAGACUGAAUGAUACCAUAUACGCCCCCUUGAGUCAAUUACUGGGACUAAAGGAUGGAACUAAAUCCAUUGUCCAGAGUAAGAUGAUAAUCUGCUUUCUGGAGCUUGGAAAGGAGCCUCAGCUGAGCUCCAUGGACUGAGAGUCGGGGAGGAGGGUUCCCCAGAGAGAACGCCUGGUCACUCUAAGGUGUGAGAGGGGGCCUUCAUACUCUUGGUUCUUCACGGUUGAUUCCGCUCGUCUUUGGAUGGAAUCACACAGAGAGAUGGUGCUUUGGCUGUUUUUGGUGACAGUGUCAUUGCUGUCAUGCAUAGAGGCUCCCAUCAAAUUCAGAGCCUCUCAGGACCCACUGGAGAUCAGAUUGAAGAAAAGUACUUGGUAAACUGCCCAGCACUUUGCAAACUCAGAGUGUGCAGAAGACCUCUUUUCCUGCAAUUCCUUAGGACCUGUGAAAUUAGCUGCUUCCUUUAACAUCUUUAGUCUAAAUGCUGAAGAAUUGGGGGAGUCAUUCUCCAGAGAGGUAGCCUAGCUCGGUGUUAUAAAGAUGGACUCUGAAACCGCCCUUCCUGAGUCCAAGUCUAGGCUCUGCCAUUGACAAGCUGAGUGGCCUCGAAUAAAUUACUCAACUUC